rnacentral:rRNA from 1 species
GGGGGAUAUUGCACAAUGGAGGAAACUCUGAUGCAGCAACGCCGCGUGAGGGAAGAAGGUUUUCGGAUUGUAAACCUCUGUCCUCAGGGACGAUAAUGACGGUACCUGAGGAGGAAGCUCCGGCUAACUACGUGCCAGCAGCCGCGGUAAUACGUAGGGAGCAAGCGUUGUCCGGAUUUACUGGGUGUAAAGGGUGCGUAGGCGGCUCUGCAAGUCAGGUGUGAAAACCAUGGGCUUAACUCAUGGAUUGCACUUGAAACUGUGGGGCUUGAGUGAAGUAGAGGCAGGCGGAAUUCCCGGUGUAGCGGUGAAAUGCGUAGAGAUCGGGAGGAACACCAGUGGCGAAGGCGGCCUGCUGGGCUUUAACUGACGCUGAGGCACGAAAGCAUGGGUAGCAAAC